rnacentral:rRNA from 1 species
GACGAACGCUGGCGGCGUGCUUAACACAUGCAAGUCGAACGGAAAGGCCCUGCUCUUGUGGGGUGCUCGAGUGGCGAACGGGUGAGUAACACGUGAGUAACCUGCCCUUGACUUUGGGAUAACUUCAGGAAACUGGGGCUAAUACCGGAUAGGAGCUCCUGCUGCAUGGUGGGGGUUGGUAAGUUUCGGCGGUUGGGGAUGGACUAGCGGCUUAUCAGCUUGAUGGUGGGGUAGUGGCUUACCAAGGCUUUGACGGGUAGCCGGCCUGAGAGGGUGACCGGCCACAUUGGGACUGAGAGACGGCCCAGACUCCUACGGGAGGCAGCAGUGGGGAAUAUUGCACAAUGGGCGGAAGCCUGAUGCAGCAACGCCGCGUGCGGGAUGACGGCCUUCGGGUUGUAAACCGCUUUCGCCUGUGACGAAGCGUGAGUGACGGUAAUGGGUAAAGAAGCACCGGCUAACUACGUG